UCUCGGAAGUAAAAAGAAUAAUCUACCAGAGUACUACGAAUUAAAAAAAUUUAAAACUCAAAGAGCUUGGCGGUGCUUUAGACUUUUCAGGGGAACCUGUCUUAUAAUCGACAAUCCACGCCACACCUAACCCUAUCUUGCAAACAAUUUGUAUACCGUCGUCGUCAGGUAACUUUUAAAAAUCUUAAUAGUUAGCGGGAAAGUUAAAUAAACUUAAACGUCAGAUCAAGGUGCAAUUAAUGAUAGGGGCAAGAUGGGUUACAAUUAUAAAAAUAGUAAUACGAAAAACUAAUUGAAAUAUUAUUUUAAAGGAGGACUUGAAAGUAAAAUAUUCAUUUAUAUGUAUAUAUAUUAAUUGAAUAAAGCUCUGAAGCGUGC
rnacentral:rRNA from 1 species